CUGAUGUUAGCGGCGGACGGGUGAGUAACACGUGGAUAACCUACCUAUAAGACUGGGAUAACUUCGGGAAACCGGAGCUAAUACCGGAUAAUAUUUUGAACCGCAUGGUUCAAAAGUGAAAGACGGUCUUGCUGUCACUUAUAGAUGGAUCCGCGCUGCAUUAGCUAGUUGGUAAGGUAACGGCUUACCAAGGCAACGAUGCAUAGCCGACCUGAGAGGGUGAUCGGCCACACUGGAACUGAGACACGGUCCAGACUCCUACGGGAGGCAGCAGUAGGGAAUCUUCCGCAAUGGGCGAAAGCCUGACGGAGCAACGCCGCGUGAGUGAUGAAGGUCUUCGGAUCGUAAAACUCUGUUAUUAGGGAAGAACAUAUGUGUAAGUAACUGUGCACAUCUUGACGGUACCUAAUCAGAAAGCCACGGCUAACUACGUGCCAGCAGCCGCGGUAAUACGUAGGUGGCAAGCGUUAUCCGGAAUUAUUGGGCGUAAAGCGCGCGUAGGCGGUUUUUUAAGUCUGAUGUGAAAGCCCACGGCUCAACCGUGGAGGGUCAUUGGAAACUGGAAAACUUGAGUGCAGAAGAGGAAAGUGGAAUUCCAUGUGUAGCGGUGAAAUGCGCAGAGAUAUGGAGGAACACCAGUGGCGAAGGCGACUUUCUGGUCUGUAACUGACGCUGAUGUGCGAAAGCGUGGGGAUCAAACAGGAUUAGAUACCCUGGUAGUCCACGCCGUAAACGAUGAGUGCUAAGUGUUAGGGGGUUUCCGCCCCUUAGUGCUGCAGCUAACGCAUUAAGCACUCCGCCUGGGGAGUACGACCGCAAGGUUGAAACUCAAAGGAAUUGACGGGGACCCGCACAAGCGGUGGAGCAUGUGGUUUAAUUCGAAGCAACGCGAAGAACCUUACCAAAUCUUGACAUCCUU
rnacentral:rRNA from 1 species